UACGAAGGGUGCAAGCGUUGCUCGGAAUUAUUGGGCGUAAAGGGUAGGUAGGUGGUGAUAUUUGUCUGGGGUGAAAUCCCUGAGCUUAACUCAGGAAGUGCCUUGGAAACGGUAUCACUAGAGUAUUGGAGAGGUUCGUGGAAUUCCCGGUGUAGCGGUGAAAUGCGUAGAGAUCGGGAGGAACAUCAGAGGCGAAGGCGA
rnacentral:rRNA from 1 species